rnacentral:rRNA from 1 species
UACGUAGGGUGCGAGCGUUGUCCGGAAUUAUUGGGCGUAAAGAGCUUGUAGGCGGUCUGUCGCGUCUGCUGUGAAAAUCCGGGGCUCAACCCCGGACUUGCAGUGGGUACGGGCAGACUAGAGUGUGGUAGGGGAGACUGGAAUUCCUGGUGUAGCGGUGAAAUGCGCAGAUAUCAGGAGGAACACCGAUGGCGAAGGCAGGUCUCUGGGCCGCUACUGACGCUGAGAAGCGAAAGCAUGGGGAGCGAACAGG